rnacentral:rRNA from 1 species
AUGCUUUGGUGCCUUCGGGAACUCUGAGACAGGGGCUGCAUGGCUGUCGUGAGAAAAAAGAAGGGAAAUGUUGGGUUAAGUCCCGCAACGAGCGCACUCCUUAUCCUUUGUUGCCAGCGAUCCGGUCGGGAACUCAAAGGAGACUGCCAGUGAUAAACUGGAGGAAGGUGGGGAUGACGUCAAGUCAUCAUGGCCCUUACGAGUAGGGCUACACACGUGCUACAAUGGCGUAUACAAAGAGAAGCGACCUCGCGAGAGCAAGCGGACCUCAUAAAGUACGUCGUAGUCCGGAUUGGAGUCUGCAACUCGACUCCAUGAAGUCGGAAUCGCUAGUAAUCGUGGAUCAGAAUGCUACGGUGAAUACGUUCCCGGGUCUUGUACACACCG